rnacentral:rRNA from 1 species
CCUACGGGAGGCUGCAGUGGGGAAUAUUGGGCAAUGGACGCAACUCUGACCCAGCAACGUCGCGUGAAUGAUGAAUGUCCUCUGAUUGUAAAGUCCUGUGAUGGGGGAUGAACACAAUGACGGUACCCCAAUAGCAAGCCACGGCUAACUACGUGCCAGCAGCAGCGGUAAUCCGGAGGUGGCAAGCGUUAUCAGGAAUGAAUGGGCGUAAAGGGUGCGUAGGUGGUUUAGGAAGUUGGCGGUGUAAUUCCGGGGCUUAACCCCGGCGCUACCGCCAAAACUAUUAGACUAGAGUGCAGGAGGGGUAAGUGGAAUUAGUAAAGUAGCGGUGGAAUGCGUAGAUAUAAGGUAGAACAUCAGGAGCGAAGGCGACUUACUAGACUGUAACUGACACUGAGGCACGAAAGCAUGGGGAGCAAACAGGAUUAGAUACCCUUGUAGUC